GAGAAAGUGGUCAGGCACAGAUCUUUAAAGUUGCUGCCCGUGCCUGGAAAGUGUGGAGGAAAGGUAAGGUGGAUAAGCUCCGAGUGUGUGUAGAAAUUAGUCUGCUGCACAGAGGUAAAUGUCACAUUUGGUGCUUCGCCCAUUUUUGUCUCUGGUGCAACCCACUGCUCCCUGGUGGCCCCAGUGAGAAGCCCACAGCCUGAAAAAUGUUCCCCACUCUUGGGCUUAGGAGUAAACCCCAUCAAACUGAGCAAGGCUUACUCCUUAAUAGCUGCAUUUAGGAUUACAUUCUAAGUGUGUUUGUAUGGUGUGCUGUGCUUGGGUGACAAUUUUUGACCCCUGUUCUGCUGUUUUCAAUGUGUGCGUCUGUGCAUGUCUCUGUGUGUAUUCCUGUUCUCUGUCGGGAGUAAGAAAUGACUCAAACGUGGUGCUGGCCUUUGCUGUAACAUUGGCUCGAAUUUCCAGCAUAGGAAACCCGACGCGACCUGUGUUUCUUUGGCUUCUGCCUUCCUUCCAUUUCCCCCACGAUAGGGAAGCUGCUUCUUUCAGCUUUUCCAUUCACUGAAACAUUUCAGAUGUUUAAUGAGAUGCUCCAUGCCUCUCCCCCCCUCCACCCCGGGGGAAGCACAGACACCAAACGCACCUUUAGCUUAGGCUGCUUUUAGUAGGAAUGAUUGACAAGUUAGCACAGCCAACAUGCAAACAACCCCCUACCCUCCCCAAUCCCUCUAAAUUCAUUGGAAGCUCUUAUCGUACACAACUGAGGGAAAUGGAAGAGUUGGGUUGCUAUCUAGAGUGGCUCGCUCCGAGAGCUGUUUUGACUUCCCUAAAGUCUGAUUUCCGAGGGUUUUUAAAAGCCUCUUGCAAUGUCAGGUGUUCUCUGUGCUGACAGGCGUCUGUUUAUUGAUUCAGGAAAUCCAUCUUGCCUGGCUUUUAACAAGGUCUGCGAGCAAGUCGGCCCCUUCCGGAUUCUAAUUCAUUGCUUUUUCUGAAUGGGAGACUGCUGUGGAGGUGUCCGGUUUCACGAGCUGAGAACAUACCCUGUGAUGCCUCUUUCUUCCUUUUCAUUUCUUUUUGUUUUCUGCAACCUUCACAAGGAGGUUAUUUUCUCUGGUGGAUAAUAAUAAUGAUGAUGAUGAUGAUGAUGAUGAUGCAAGCAGACUAGAACAGCUGUUCCUUUAGCAAACCACACAAACAGCCUUUUCCAAGAAAGUUAAAAAGGAAACCUACGCUUUUUACAUUAAAAUUUGUUUUCAUGAAUCUGCCUUGAGCCAAAAUAUUUUAUUGCUAUUUAUGACAGUUGAGUUUAGACUGCAUCACAGGGAGAGAUUCUGCAUAUUUUGCUAACAGGCCACCCCUUGAGAUGGCAUUAAUUGGAAAAUGCAAGAAUGCAAUUCUGUGCGCAUGUUAUAUAUGCUAGGAAGUGCCCCUCGUUGAACGGAAUGUCUUUCUGAGGAAACAUGCAAAGGAUCGUCCUGCAUUCCAAUGAAAUGCUCUUGCAUCAGGGCUGCUGCCUCAGAAGAACGGCCAACUGGUCUUGAAAUAGCAAGUGGGUCAAUGACAUACCAGGCAUGAGAUAUCCUGUUCUCACAGUGGCCAAGCAUGCAAAUAAAGAGUUGCGUGGCAAGUCCCCUCCCCCAUGUGAAAUGAAGCCCCUGGACACAUUAUUUAAGGUUAAUGGGCAUAAAAAAGCCACAACUUUAUUGAUUACAGAAUUGAAAGGUAUUGGCCUUAGGCAUUGGCUCCUAUUGACUACCCGGCAUGGAGACUGGGAAGGGUUAUCCACAAGCCGUGGGAGUCCUGUUGAAGUACGCCAACUAGGAUCCCACGGGUGUCACCGCUCGGGGGCGUGCCGGAGGCCCUUACCUCCCUAGGUUUCGGACAAGGCAACGCCCCCCGGAGUCCUCUACCGGACUACCCUUUUCCUUGGGGGAAGGUGAUGGCGCUUCCUCCCCCCCAUUCAUUUGCAUAACAAUUAACCCCUGCCAAUGCCUAACCGCCAAUACCGCGGAAGUUGUGACGUUUGCUACGAGGUAGGCGAAAAAACCAAAAGGCUGGAAGUGCGCCAAAUUGGAAAAAUUCCUACCAGGCCCCUUGCGGCGACCAACCGGAGUCCAUUGCAAGGUCAUAGCUAGCUAAGCCUAAGGGUGGGUGGGAUGGGAAAACCGCUCAGCUGGAAAGGGGAAAGAGGGCGGUCCCCGGGCGUGCCUGGCCUUAAGUAGGCUAGGCCAUGCCUCCCCAGCCUGCUGAUUGGCGGGCCGGGUCGAAGGCACGCCCGGGGAUUCCCCGGAUCUCGCGGGGGCAAAGGGCCAGCCCCCGCGUGUGUGGGAAGGGGUAGCCCGCAACCCCCUCUCCUCCCAAGCUCGGAAAUGGCUUUGCCGUUUUGUUUCAAUGGCCCAGCUCUGUAGUCAUGCCCAGCCUAAUGAUCAACACUUUUAAGUCCCAUUGACUGCAGUGGGAGAGAUGUAAGCCCCUGUUUAAAUCUCUUGUUGCAACCAACAGGAGAUAAAAAGACGUUUUGAGGUUGACUAGUUCAUCUCCGGGUAGGCUAGGUAGCAAAGGGUAAUUUCAGGAGAUGUGGCUGUGAAUUGUGUAACGAGCUAAACCAGCUGAUAUUCCUCUUUGCUACAAACUAUAGUCGUACCUCCGCUUCCGAACGCCUUGGGAGUUUCAGCUCCCAAACGAUCGAAAACCGGAAGUGAUUGUUCUGGUUUUCGAACGUUCUUUUGGAAGCUGAACGUCCGGCAGGAGCUUCCUGCAGCCAAUCAGAAGCUGUGCUUUGGUUUCUGAAUGUUUUGGAAGUCGAAUGGACUUCCGGAACAGAUUCUGUUUGACUUUGGAGCUACAUCUGUAUUGAAGGUGCAUGAGCCCUGUCCUCUUGCACCCCAGGGGGUGUGCUUCCUUAAGAACUACACAUCCCAGAAUUCCUUUGUUCUGGCAUUUCCUAUAUGCACGUGCAGGAGAAUCCAGCAGGACGUGAUAACCAGCUGACAGCAAGAGAGUGAGACCCAUCACACAUACAGAGGAACAGCAUAAUAACCAGGGGCAAUUAGAGACAGUGGCAUUCAAUUCUGCCAAUAGGAUUUAAGUCAGCCUUUCUCAACUUGUGGGUCCCCAGAUGUUGUUGAACUACAACUCCCAUCACCCCUAGCUAGCAAGGCCAGAGCUUAGGGAUGAUGGGAGUUGUAGUCCAACAACAUCUGGGGACCCACAGGUUGAGAACCGCUGAUUGAAAUGACCCAGGACAAAUGGAAGUAAAUGAGUUUGGCAUCUGGUCUCCAGAGUGCAGAGAAGAGCUGGUUUUAGAUCUCAGAGACAGGGCACAGCAUGUAAAAAGCAUGUGUGCCUUACAUCACCAACCGAACCGUAUCUACUAAGAAGUAAGUCCGAUUGAAUUCAGUGGGGUUUACUGCUGGGUAAAGUGGGGCCAGGACUGCUGCUUUAGGGCGCAGCCACACUUCUGCUUGUCCCGUCUGAGAGGUUUUCUGUUUACCUUGCCGCUUCCCCCUGGAAAACCCACUCUUUGCUGCUGAAUCGGAGCAAAUGUCAAUCCAUGGAAAGGUGUGCCCGCUUAAGUCCCUGCUAAAGUCCCCUUAGAAAACUUUGGACCACUUCAGCCAACUGAACCAAAUUAGCCCAUUUAAGUCCCCUUCGCUAACUUAAGUUGCCUUCGUCAACUUAGCCAACUUAAAUCUCCUUAGCCAACAUAGCCCACUUAAGUCCCCACUUAGCCCACUUUAGUCCCCUUCAGCCCCCACUUGCAUUCCCACUUAAGCCCCACCUUAGCCCACUUACGUCCCCACUAAACUAGCACAAAACUAUGGCAUCACUUUUUUGGGGGGGACCCAGAAUUUUGGAGUCACCUGAUAAUGAAACUGCGAAAGUGGCAGGGAAAACGGGGGUCUGGACGAGCCCUCAGUGUACAGUUAAUACGUAAACGGUAAAAAAAGGGAAAAGAUUAAUACAUAUACCACGCUGCAGUUAGGCAGCCAGAAAAGAGAAGCAUUUAAACAAAGGAAUAAACAAAGGCAAAGGAUAAUCCAGUCGAUCCUCAGUUAUUUUCUAACACAGACAAGUGAUCAGAGGGAGGUUGUGUGUGUGUGUGUGUGUGUGUGUGUGUGUGUGUGUGUGCAGAGUCUGUGUUGGGCUCAGACAAAUGGUCCUUAGGCACUGUUAGUAACCUGAGUGCCAUUCGUUUGCCAGGAAAUAAGAGCAACAGAGCCAAAUAAGUCAGAUCCAAAGGAACAGCUUGCCUUUGACUAAUAUGUGUUUGAGCUUCAGCUUGACUUCGCCCUAAGCCAAGAUUUUGAAUUGCUGAAUUAAGUGCAAACGUGACGGGAGAUUUGAAUCAAAACAACUUUGUACUUGCUUGGCCAAGGUGUUAUUUGCGAAAAGAUGCUCUUGCCAGCUGUCCCUGCGACCUGGCUCUGAAGAUUUCAAGAAUCCCAAGCAUGCCAUUCUGAAACAGUUAGUACUCUUUUUGUGUGUCUGUGUGUGUAAAUAAAUUUUAUUGGUUUUACAAUUUCAACUUCAAAUAGUUAGUACUAUUAAUUCUGCCUCAUGGCAGAGAUAGGCAAAUCAUAGAAACGUAGUGCUGGAAGGGACCCUGUGGAUCACCUAGUCCAACCCCCGGCAAUGCAGGAAUAUGCAGCUGCCCCAUAUGGGGCUCGAACCUGCAACCUUGGCAUUAUCAGCACUGCACACUAGCCAACUGAGCUAUGCAGGUAUAAAAUCUGACAAUUCAGUUUCUCAUUUUUGUCAGUCUUCAAUUCUCCACAUUUCAACAUCAGGGUGUGGUGGUUUUAUUUAAAAAGGUCCUCAUCAGAAUUUACCAGUGUUUUAGUGCGAACUUCUUCUAAUGUGCAACUUUUUGCAAAGCAGUUUGGAGAAGCGUGGCUUGCAAACGACAGCAGUGUGUCCGCUCCCCUAUAAGGUAGGUUUGCCUUUCAAUGUGAGAUCAGGUGAGAUCGAAGCCCUUUAAGGCCUUUUAAAAGGUAAAGGGACCCCUGACCAUUAGGUCCAGUCUCUGACCGACUCUGGGGUUGCGGCGCUCAUCUCGCUUUAUUGGCCGAGGGAACCGGCGUUCAGCUUCCGGGUCAUGGGGCCAGCAUGAGUAACCAAAGGAGUACACAUGCACAUUCAAUUGCCCAACAGCAUCCACGUCACCCAGGAGAUCGCAGCCACAUAGAUAAGAAAAGGAGAGUGACUCUGUUGUCCGGAGAGGUUCACAGGGAGAAGACAUUUUCAACGGAGCUCAGCGAUGGAAGCACACUGAGGCACAUUGAGGCAGCACCGCGUUUUGAAAUUUUGCGCCCCUCACAAUUUUGCGCCAGGGGCUACUGUUAUUGUGUCCCCCCCUCCCAUGCUAUGGCACUGGAAGAGGUUAAGGAUAAAUUCCCACUAGGCAGAAACACUCAUGCAGGCUGCAGAGCAGGAAUCAGGGGAGGGUAUCUGUGGGUGGGGAGGGGUGCGUGGUCUAGGGAGAAACCUCAGAAGCCAGCUUUAGGUUUCCUAUCCCUGCAUUUGGAGGAGAGGGGAAUUUUGCUGGUUCCUCCAGCGUUUUCCCAACAACACCACCUUCCACUCUCUUCUGCAGGGACCCCCACAACUCCCUGAAGCAGAUUUUGAGGGUGUGAUGAGGGCUGCAGGGCAGAGUGAGAAUUGGCCAAAUUUCAUUCCUUCCUCUUCUGUUAGAGGACCUCUCACGCUAUUCCACGAGAGCAAGGGCACCAAUUUGGAUCCCACACUAAACGUGCAUAGGAUUGUCGCCUCACAGUGCCUGCCUACACGUGUUUCCUCAAAUGUAAGAGCUGAGAGGGGCCUGCUCCCUGGUUAGGUGGUAAGUAAAUGCAAGAAACACAUAAGCCAAUAGGAGUUACACGGCUCGGGGAAACGAUGUGGUUAUGCCUACAAUGAAAAGGAAAAGGAACGCAGCGUCACCACAUGGCAACCACUUCAAAAUAACUCCCGUUCCAUAAUGGCAAAGGUUUGAUGAAGUGGGCUACAGAAACACGCCAUUAGCAUCUGUGUCAACUGAAAUAAUGGCUUAAAAAAGAAAAAGAAAAAGCUAAGCCCCCUGACCUUGGCUGUUUUUGAACCACUUUUGCUUCAAGGUCUGAUAUCAACUCCUUAUAAUCAGAGUCAUUGUUUUCUGCAGUGCCUGCAGUUUGUACAUUUGACCACGAGGUGCCACUCUGUAACUCGUGCUGAAACCAGAGGUAUUUGUGUUCUCUAUUCUGUCCACCCCUUCUGAGGGACCAAAUCGGAGGGACUGGGCUGUUUUACCAUGCCCAGUGCCACCAGAGUAGCCUAUUUUUGAAAGGUCUUUGCUGAUUGGAUGUUAAUUCACUAAUCAUGCUAAUGCCAUUGUCUUAGUCUACUCUAGUGAUGGCUUCACAUGAUUGCUCUCCCCGCUACUGUAGAUAAGGUGGCAUUUUUCAGUCCACGAAAGCUCCAUACCAGGGUCCAGUCAGAAGUAGGGAAAAUGGGGUGCUCCAAAGUUGUCCAGGGCAAACAAUUAUAUCUAGGAAGUGUACCCCAAAUGCGAAUUUAUUGUCCCCUAAAAGCAUUGGCAUAAAGAUAGAUAGUGUUCAUAUUUUGUCAAGUCUUCUUGAAUUUCCUAACCACUCCAUUGUUUAUAUGUAUUCCAUUCCAUUACUUACAUCAUUUGGGGGAAACCUGGUAUCCCACCAGCAUCUGAAGUCUGAUUGGUGGGAAUGCAAGACACACCCACCUCUGUUGCCAUGGUUAUGGUCAGACCCUUGGAGAUGCAUUUUGCUACUUACCUGCUAUCCUUCCUCUCCAAGUUGGAGGCUUUUUGCUCCUGCAGGAUUUUGACUGGCUGGUUGUUUGGUAUUAAGUUUAUUUUUGCUGUUUCCUGCUUCCUGCUAUUGCAAGUCCCCCCCCCCCAAACAAAUUGUUGAUGUAAGGUGACUUGGGCACUGCUUUUAAGCCGGGAAAUCAAUACACCAGUGUUUUAAAUAAAGAAAUCAGACAAAACUCAUGUGUAGCUAGAGAUGGAUAAAUUUGCCAAUGUCAGUUUAUCAUUUUUUUGAUUUUCAGUUCAGUUCACUCCUUUUUGUGAUUUUUUUUUAAAAGUCUGCACGGAAAUUUGUACACAGUUCUGUGUAUAUUCCUUCUAAUAUACAGGUUUGUACUGGCAGUUUGUUUGCGAUAUAAUGAUUUCCCCCCUAUGUCCCUUUCACUUUUUGGUGCAUACUUUCCAUGAAUACACAUUUUUUUCCUACUUUUUUUUGGGGGGGGGCCUGGGGAACUGCCUCACAACAAUCUCCCCAGUCUGCAGAUACCAGGAUGGUCCACUUUAUGCAUGACAGCUUCCACGUUGUAGGAAGGCCCACAUUCAGAAUUGUGUAUGACACCAUGUCUGAAAACCAUGCAAGAGUCUAAUCUGCCAUUGUUAGACAUGGUUGGAGACAACACCCAUAAUACUCUUGUCCCCUCUUCCAAAGACAUAUUUCUUUUUUCUUUGCUCUGGAGGGUAGGACUCGAACCAAUGGCUUCAAGUUACAAUAAAGGAGAUUCCGACUAAACAUUUGGAAAAACUUUCUGAUAACAAGAGUAGCUUGACAGUGGAACGACCUCCCUCGGGAACUUGUGGAUUCCCCUUCCGUGGAGGUUUCUUUCUUUCUUUCUUUCUUUCUUUCUUUCUUUCUUUCUUUCUUAUAAUUUUCAUUGAUUUUCUUUUCUCAAAACAAGUAUCCACUAUCAUUGCUGAACAUACAUUUUCCAAUUCCCCCCCCUUCCCUGUUGACUUCCCUCAACUACCAUUUCUGGUUUAUGACAUCAGACGAUACAUUAUGCUGUUUAUUUAUAAUAUUAUGGUAUCACAUUGUUGUACUUCUUGUUCUCUGUAAAUAAAAUUGUAAACGUUUAUUUAAAUCCUGCCAGCGAGACCAUUUCUUUCUGUUGUUUCUGCAAAUAUAUUGUAAAGAGUUCCCAUCCUUUUUCAAAGUCACUAUUGUCCUUUGCACACAGUUUGUCCGUUAACUUUGCUAACUUUGGAGGUUUCUAAGAAGAUGUUGGGCGGCCGUCUGCCAUGGAUGCUUUGGCUGAGAUUCCCGCAUUGCAGGGGGUUGGACUAGAUGACCCUUGGUGUCUCUUCCAACUCUAUGAUUCUAUGGUUCUAUGAUUCUAAGGGAGAGCCUGGGGCCUUGGCAGUUAUUCCCUGAGCAGGCACACCUGGUCACAGUCUUGCCCACCGCCGUGAGAUGGAUUGCAUUUCUAUUUAAAUCACAGCCAUUAUUCCUCGCGUAGGUGCAAAGCAGCAAAUGCAAAUUUAAUGCAAAUCCACGCACUCCCUCAUCCUUUUCCUUUUUCCUUUUCCUUCUCAAGAGGGGAUGCAUUUUCUUCUUUUUCCUUUUUUCUUUUCAGGGAAUCCGUGAGUGGCUACCCUCGCCCUGAGCCGUUCUUUGCAGCUUCCAGAAGAUGGUGCCCUGCUGUCAGGAAACAGGCAUGAAACACACACACACACACCCCACCAGCAGUCAUUCCAGUCCAUUGGCAGAAUGUCAUGCCAAACGCUUUGUGUCUGUCAGCACAUUCCUGGAAGGUCACAGCAAAUGAAGAAGACUCCUGUGUGUAGGAGCUGGAGAAAGAGGAAUAUAUAUGUACACACACACACACACACACACACACACACACACACACAGUUGCAUCACAUGGUGGCCUUUUGGCUUCAACCACUCGAUUCCUGCAGUUAUAAACCUUUCCCAAUUGUUAUUCGGCUGCUUCCUCCGCAGGCCAAGGCAGGAUAUUCAUGACUGACUGGCCCCUGGAAGCUGGAAAGACUCCAGUUACUUUCCAUAGCACGGUUUCUGCUCACUUCCCUCCCGUCACAACCUGCCC
rnacentral:lncRNA from 1 species